rnacentral:lncRNA from 1 species
CUAUAGAAAAAAGUACCCAUAGGGGACUACAAUGAAAAGACAGUAUCAACUUGAUCAGAAACAAAUGAAAAAGUGACUGUGAUUCAGUGGCACAAAAAAAUGGUCUGAGAUCUGGAUUUGUAUUUUAGUUGCAGAGGAAAUGGUUAUGCUGGAGGGGACUGCAGGGACAUGACAAAUCUGAGCUCUCAUAGCUGAGGCUUCUUGCUCUCACCUCGUGUCCUGUGUCUGUAGCAAACCCAGAUCUGUAGCAAACAUGGAAUUGGGCUCUUCUGGGCACCUCAGCGUGAGAUUGCACUUUAGAAGCAAUAGUUCCUGCAAAUUUGCUAUGGAAGCUUCUGUACAAGAACAUCAAGAGAAAGAACAACCAGUUCAAGAAAGCAUCAUUCAGUCUUGGUCUGUGUUAGACCCAGAAGAAUCUGUGAAAUAGGAGCCCACGAGAAACCAGCUUCCUCUGGUUCUGCUGCUGGUGAAACUGCUUUAAUUAUGCCACUGUAAGUACUCACUGAAGUAAUUUGCUGGUUGUGCUGGAUCUAGUAAUAAUGGUAUCUUUCA